CGAAAGCCAGGGAGCGAACGGGAUUAGAUACCCCGGUAGUCCUGGCCUUAAACGAUGAAUGCUUGGUGUCUGGGGUUAUAAAGUCCCCGGGUGCCGUCGCUAACGCUUUAAGCAUUCCGCCUGGGGGGUACGGUCGCAAGACUGAAACUCAAAGGAAUUGACGGGGACCCGCACAAGCGGUGGAGCAUGUGGUUUAAUUCGACGCAACGCGAAGAACCUUACCUGGGCUAGAAUGCCUCUGACAACCCUAGAGAUAGGGCCUCCAAGGUAAAACUUGGCAGAGUGCAAGGUGCUGCAUGGCUGGCUGUCGUCAGCUCGUGUCGUGAGAUGUUGGGUUAAGUCCCGCAACGAGCGCAACCCUUAUCUUUAGUUGCCAGCAUUAAGUUGGGCACUCUAGAGAGACUGCCGUUGACAAAACGGAGGAAGGUGGGGAUGACGUCAAGUCCUCAUGGCCUUUAUGUCCAGGGCUACACACGUGCUACAAUGGCCGGUACAAACCGCCGCAAACUCGCAAGAGGGAGCCAAUCGGAAAAAGCCGGUCUCAGUUCGGAUUGAAGUCUGCAACUCGACUUCAUGAAGUU
rnacentral:rRNA from 1 species